rnacentral:rRNA from 1 species
UUCCGGUUGAUCCUGCCGGACCUGACUGCUAUCGGAUUGAUACUAAGCCAUGCGAGUCAUUGUAGCAAUACAAGGCAUACGGCUCAGUAACGCGUAGUCAACCUAACCUAUGGACGGAAAUAACCUCGGGAAACUGAGAAUAAUGUCCGAUAGAACACUAUACCUGGAAUGGUUUGUGUUCCAAAUGAUUUAUCGCCGUAGGAUGGGACUGCGGCCUAUCAGUUUGUUGGUGAGGUAAUGGCCCACCAAGACUAUUACAGGUACGGGCUCUGAGAGGAGUAGCCCGGAGAUGGGUACUGAGACACGGACCCAGGCCCUAUGGGGCGCAGCAGGCGAGAAAACUUUGCAAUGUGCGAAAGCACGACAAGGUUAAUCCGAGUGAUUUGUGCUAAACGAAUCUUUUGUUAGUCUUAGAACCACUAACGAAUAAGGGGUGGGCAAGUUCUGGUGUCAGCCGCCGCGGUAAAACCAGCACCUCAAGUGGUCAGGAUGAUUAUUGGGCCUAAAGCAUCCGUAGCCGGCUCUGUAAGUUUUCGGUUAAAUCUGUACGCUCAACGUACAGGCUGCCGGGAAUACUGCAGAGCUAGGGAGUGGGAGAGGUAGACGGUACUCGGAAGGAAGGGGUAAAAUCCUUUGAUCUUUUGAUGACCACCUGUGGCGAAGGCGGUCUACCAGAACACGUCCGACGGUGAGGGAUGAAAGCUGGGGGAGCAAACCGGAUUAGAUACCCGGGUAGUCCCAGCUGUAAACUAUGCAAACUCAGUGAUGCAUUGACUUGUGGUCAAUGCAGUGCUGCAGGGAAGCCGUUAAGUUUGCCGCCUGGGAAGUACGUACGCAAGUAUGAAACUUAAAGGAAUUGGCGGGGGAGCACCACAAGGGGUGAAGCCUGCGGUUCAAUUGGAGUCAACGCCGGG